rnacentral:sRNA from 1 species
CUGUUUUUCUUCUUGUGAUAUGUUUUCAUUCCACAAGCUACUCAAAGACAUCACCCUACAAGCCUACAAAGCGGUUUAUGUUGAACACAAAAUCAAAUGGAGUGUGUUACUUACGUAAAGGCUUAAAAAGGGAAAAUGAUCUGAUCCGUCACAUUCAUAUCCUUUAAAAGUGGUAGACGGAGUGAUGAUAAUGGAGUCAUGGAGGGAGAAUGUUACGGAGCAGAGAAAUCUAAAUUUGAAGGUGCUAGACAGGCAAUAAUGAUUUGAGUAUAGGGAUAUGCGCAGAAUGCUUGUAAGAUGUAUGUGUAGGGUGUGAUAUGCUUGUAUAGAUGCAAUAAAUGUGUAAGAUGUGAAUAGUGUACAUGAAUGUGUAGGAAGUGGAUGGUGUAGAUGAAUGUGUAAGAAGUGAAUAGUGUACAUGAAUGUGUAGGAAGUGGAUGGUGUAGAUGAAUGUGUAAGAUGUGGCUGGCGAUGUGGAUGGCGUAGAUGAAUGAGGGUGGUGUAGAUGAAUGUGUGGGAUGUGGAUGGUGUAGAUGAAUGUAUAGGAUGUAGUAUCUAGAGCAAAAUUGACUGAGAUAUUUUACGACUAGAGAUAUAUAUAUGUUCGCAUUGUCCAAAUAUUUAG